GACCAGCAAAAUAUCUGUGACACUCUUCCUCAUUUUUCUUGGUCUCCUCUACUGGUAUUCAGUCCGUCCCUUCUCAGUCCUCUCACGAUGUGGCAUCAAACAUCCAAAGCCAGUGCCUUUCUUUGGCAACUUAUUCAUGUUUCAGCAGGGUUUUUUCAAACCUCUGAAUGAUCUUAUCAAAACAUAUGGUAAAGUAUGUGGGUAAGUAAAAAUACAUCCUACAACAGCAACUACUGAAAUAAGAUUGUGAAUAUUUGGAUGAUCUGAUAUCCUUGUGUUGGU